UCACGAAAGUCGGCUGCACUUGAAGCCGCUGAGCCAACUCGCAAGAGGGGCAGGCGUCUAUGGUGUGGUCGAUGAUUGGGGUG
rnacentral:rRNA from 1 species